AUUGAAAGCUGGCGGCAGGCCUAACACAUGCAAGUCGAACGAGUGGCGGACGGGUGAGUAAUGUCUGGGACACUGCCCGAUGGCUGGGGAUACCUACUGGCAAAGGUAGCUCAUACCGCAUACCAUCGGAUGUGCCCCGAUGGGCUUAGCUCGUAGGUGGGGUAACGGCUCACCUCUGCGAAGAUCCCUAGCUGGUCUGAGAGGAUGACCAGGCACACUGUAACUGAGACACGGUCCAGACUCCUACGGGAGGCAGCAGUGGGGAAUAUUGCACAAUGGGCGCAAGCCUGAUGCAGCCAUGCCGCGUGUAUGAAGAAGGCCUUCGGGUUGUAAAGUACUUUCAGCGAGGAGGCGUUACUCGCAGAAGAAGCACCGGCUAACUCCGUGCCAGCAGCCGCGGUAAUUC
rnacentral:rRNA from 1 species